rnacentral:pre_miRNA from 1 species
AAACCGUCCCUUAAGUUUUGCAAUUGUAGCAGUUUUGGCCUCCCAAUGCCAAUUUUUGGUAAAAAAUAACACGUGGAACCUCACUUAGGGUGCCACGUCAGCGUAGACUGAGUCAAAAUUGGCCUUAGAGGCCAAAACUGCCACAUAUGCAAAACUUAGGGGGCGGUUU